CUCAGUAGUAAGGGGGAGGGUUACGGGACCAAGAGGGAAGAGGUAAAGGAAACAGAGAGAGAGAGAGAGAGGAAAGGAAAGGAUAAGAAAAGAACAGAAAAGAAACGAAACGAAAAGAAAAGAAAGGAAAGGGGAGAAGAAGAAGAAGAAGAAGAAGAAGAAAGAGAGGGAAGGAAAGGAUAAGAAAAGAAAAGAAAAGAAAGGGGAAAAGAAGAAGAAGAAGAAGAAGCAGAGGAAGAGAUGUCACAGGCAGUAGGUGUUUCAUUUCCUCAGGUUAAGAAAAUCACCGACGGAAAAGAAAGAGAGUGGUAAGCUCAUGCACGUGAGGUGGAACUAUGAAACACGCGCCAUAAAUUGCAUGAUGAUAUAUUCAAGAAUGAGUCAAUGGAUGAAUCUUCUUAUUUGUGUUUUGUUGUUGAAGAAGAUAGAAGGCCUCUAUGUGGGAAUUACUUAUGUUAGGAAUGCUGUGGCAAAAGGAGCUGUUUGUUUGGAUGGAAGCCCUCCAGCAUACCAUUUGGAUAAGGGGUUUGGUACUGGCAUUAAUAGUUGGUUGGUUCACUUUGAGGGAGGAGGUUGGUGUAACAAUAUAACAACUUGCCUUGCCCGCAAGAAUACUCGUUUAGGUUCAUCAAAGCAAAUGGCCACACCACUUGCUUUCUCUGGAAUUAUGAACAACAUGAGACAAUAUAAUCCAGAUUUCUAUAAUUGGAAUAGAGUUAAGAUUAGAUACUGUGAUGGAGCUUCAUUUACCGGUGAUGUGGAAGCAGUCAAUCCCGCUACUAACCUUCACUUCAGAGGAGCAAGGAUUUUUCUUGCUGUCAUAGAGGAUCUAUUAGCUAAAGGAAUGAAAAACGCUGAAAAUGCUCUUCUUUCUGGUUGCUCAGCUGGUGGACUGGCUUCCAUUCUACACUGUGAUAGCUUCCGAGCUCUCCUACCAAUGGGUACUAAAGUAAAAUGCCUUUCAGAUGCUGGUUAUUUUAUCAAUGUGAAGGAUGUUUCUGGAGCACCACACAUACAAACCUACUUCAAUCAAGUGGUCUCAUUGCAUGGAUCAGCAAAAAAUUUACCCCUUUCCUGUACUUCAAGACUAAACCCUGCAUUGUGUUUCUUCCCACAAUACGUGGUGCAACAAAUAAAGACACCCCUGUUUGUGCUAAAUGCAGCUUACGAUUCAUGGCAGAUUAAGAAUACUUUGGCACCAAGUGCUGUUGAUCCCAGUGGCACCUGGAAAGCUUGCAAGCUUGACAUAAAUACUUGCUCCCCUAUUCAACUUAAAACAGUGCAAGAUUUUAGGACAAAAUUCUUGAAUACAUUAUAUAGAUCAACAAACUCUUCUUCCAAAGGUGUGUAUAUAGAUUCUUGCUAUGUCCACUGCCAAACUGAAUUACAGGAGACAUGGUUCAUGACUGGCUCUCCAGAACUUGGCAAAACAAAAAUUGCAAAGGCAAUUGGAGAUUGGUUUUAUGACGAGAAUCCUUUCCAAAAGAUUGAUUGUCCUUACCCUUGCAAUCCAACCUGCCCAAGAAGUGAUUUGGAUAAGCAACAUCACCUAGAUACAGGAUUAGGGAAUGGGAUUGCAGCAACUGUAAAAUUGAGUUUGGUGACAAUGGUUUUUUGUUGGUUGAUAAUGGGCAUGAAAAUCAGUUUCAAGAACUGAAAUCAAAGAGUAGAUAGGUAGAUGAUGAAAAGGAUGCAAUAUAGCACUUGAGCUCCUUGGCCAACAUCUUUAUACAUUCAAUAUACCUCUACAUCAAUUGUACUCGCAGACUUACUCCAGUGAAUCUAGAAGAAUGUGGGUUUCAAAGUGAAGCUAAGAUACUUACCGCCGAGGAAGAAGGCCGUUAGUGCUAUAGAUGAUGGGUCCAAGGGAGAGCAACUAAUUGAAAGUCCAAGGGAGAUGGUGUUGUAGAAGCAAUGGAGCCAAAGGCAACACUCCUUGAGGAGGAGCAAUAAUAGGUGUAAGGUUUAAAGGAUGGCAAAGUCACCUAACCAGGAUAUAUGAGAGGAGCACUGCUAAGGCGCAAAAAAAAACGUUAAUGGCUAAUAAAUGCGAAAUCAGCUUGUCUAUAUCUUGUUUAUCUCAUACAUCAUUUCAGUUUAUCAUAUGUGUAUUUAUAAUCUUAAAGACGUUCCGAAAAAAAAGACUGAGUUAUAAGAGAUCGACAUUCAAUUUUAAUUCCUUCAGGUUGUA